rnacentral:miRNA from 1 species
UCUUGGUCUGGGCUCUGUGCGU